rfam:Calocera cornea HHB12733 unplaced genomic scaffold CALCOscaffold_11, whole genome shotgun sequence.
GCCCUUUUAGCUCAGUGGUAGAGCGUUUGUCUUGUAAGCUCUCAGCUUGUGAUGUCAACAAAAGGUCACAGGAUCAAUCCCUGUAGGGGGCA